CCUACGGGUGGCAGCAGUGAGGAAUAUUGGUCAAUGGACGAGAGUCUGAACCAGCCAAGUAGCGUGAAGGAUGACUGCCCUAUGGGUUGUAAACUUCUUUUAUAUGGGAAUAAAAUGUUCCACGUGUGGGAUUUUGUAUGUACCAUAUGAAUAAGGAUCGGCUAACUCCGUGCCAGCAGCCGCGGUAAUACGGAGGAUCCGAGCGUUAUCCGGAUUUAUUGGGUUUAAAGGGAGCGUAGGUGGAUUGUUAAGUCAGUUGUGAAAGUUUGCGGCUCAACCGUAAAAUUGCAGUUGAAACUGGCAGUCUUGAGUACAGUAGAGGUGGGCGGAAUUCGUGGUGUAGCGGUGAAAUGCUUAGAUAUCACGAAGAACUCCGAUUGCGAAGGCAGUUCACUGGACUGCAACUGACACUGAGGCUCGAAAGUGUGGGUAUCAAACAGGAUUAGACACCCUUGUAGUC
rnacentral:rRNA from 1 species